CUGAGCUACUGGGCAACAACAAACCAGGGCACAGGGGUGGAUGGUCAGCAGGAAGGUCGGGCCUUCCAGCCUGAGUCAUCAUCUCUUCCUGCUGGCAUCACAGGAACACAGAAAUAUCCUGUUUGGUCCUUGCUGUUUAUCACCCUCAUACCCUCUGCAAGGUUUCAGGAACCUACUAAUUUUCGUAUAUCUGGGCACAAGAUACAUGACGACUCCUAACCUGAUUCCUCCUGGGGACAAAGCUAGCAGAUGGACUUGUCUCUAACAUUUCAGGGAACAGCAGAACCUCCAAAGAAC
ensembl:lncRNA